UGAAAGCCUUUCAUGAUCAUAGAGGUCUUCUGGCUAUUGCUGCUUUGGUUAUAUGGUGCAAACCAACUUUUGCUGUGAUGAGAAGCCAUCUCAGGAGGUUCUCUGCAGCCUGGCUGACCAGCAGCUUGGCUGAACAUCCUAAAAGCAGAAAGAGGAAUGAGCAGCUGCUAAGUGCAAACCUCAGAGAGAAAUCACUGUCACUCACUAAAUAAAGCCGGCUUUCUUUGCGGCUGACAUAAUGGAUGUUUUUCUCAAACAUCAACAGAUUUUUGCUUUCGGUGGGUUGAAAACAUAUAUUCUUCAAACAGGGAUAUGUUGUUUGUAUUUAACUGGGCAGCUCUAGCAGCUGUGAAGGCAACCACCGGUGCCGCCGCCUUCUUUCUGCAAAAAUAAAAAUGCCAGCCGAGGAGCGGCUUGAAAUUGCAGUAGGAAGCAUUGCCUCUUUCCUCAGGGGCAGCCCCGGGAGGGAAGCGGGGAGCUGCGGUGGGCCAGGCUCCCACCUCCCACCCGCCGGGGGCUUACCGGGCGGUUUGGCGAACCUUUUCGCCGGGGGACGGGGAGGCUAAGAGAGGGGACCAGGAGGCAGCGACGGGGAGAACGUGCUAUGUAUAGGCGCCGAGCUACAGGUGCCGUCAAUUAGCACGGAUUCCUCCGAGCCCGGCAGCUCCGCCCGUGCACCCCCCGCCCUCCAUCCCCGCCCCAGGGGCUGCCGCGGGCGGAGUGGCGGGGGGAGGACCGGAGGAGGCAGGGGAGCCUCGGGGCCGGCCGCUGCCAGCCUCUGCCAGUGCCUCCAACAGUACCUCUAACCCUGGUCCGGAGGAUGCUGCUUGCCCUUCUCCAUCGCCCCCGUGUGAGGGAGCAGCGGGUUGCUCUCCCGAGAGGCUGGAGGGCUCAGCGACCGGCAGCGGACACGGAAAUAUAUUCUUUGGAUAAUAAGGUUUGUGUCUGGGAUGCAUGUAGAGGCUUGGAGUUAAAGGUGAAGAAUCUGAUAUCAUCCUUGAGAGGAAUAUUGGAGAAGCAAAAUUCUGCAGUCAGAGAGACAUGAUACCAGGUCAAGAAAGUGAUGGGAGUUCAGCUACAAACAAUACUGAAAAGUAAAUACGUGGUGUAUUUCACUGAACAAAUGAAAGGUUGACAAAAUAAAUGAAAUGUGGCAGAUUCUGUCA
rnacentral:lncRNA from 1 species